UACGGGGGGGGCAAGCGUUGUUCGGAAUUACUGGGCGUAAAGGGCUCGUAGGUGGCCAACUAAGUCAGACGUGAAAUCCCUCGGCUUAACCGGGGAACUGCAUCUGAUACUGGAUGGCUUGAGAUUGGGAGAGGGAUGCGGAAUUCCAGGUGUAGCGGUGAAAUGCGUAGAUAUCUGGAGGAACACCGGUGGCGAAGGCGGCCCCCUGGUUGGAUACUGACGCUGAGACGCGAAAGCGUGGGGAGCAAACAGG
rnacentral:rRNA from 1 species